rnacentral:lncRNA from 1 species
UGCAAUUCACAUUUCACAAUUUCACAUUAUCAAUCCAAUUUCACAAUAUCAAUUCACCUUAUCAAUCCAAUUUAAUGCUCCAUUCAGACAAAUUAGCGCAAUUAAGGAGACAAAUAGAACAGAGUAUGAAUUAGUAUCCAAAACAAAUAAAUUAUUUUAAUAAUGAAGCUUCCAAGUUCCAUCAUAUGGGUUAGUUCGAGGAGGCAUGGGUUGGUUUUGCAUAAUUAAUCAACUUGUUAUAUAGUAGUAAUUAAAUAUUAAUCAUUAAAAUCCACGAACCCACCCAUAUUGUACCUUAUCUAAUACGUAAUACAAUAUUUAGGUACAAGAUAUUAUGGAUCAUGAGUCAGGCCCUAGAUGAAUCUUGUGACUUUGCUUGGCAUCCAAAGCUUUUAACUUUUGCCUAAUUUUCCAUGCUUAGGCAAGAAUUUAUUCUAAGCUUGUCCUUGUAGAAUUGAUUUACAAAUCGGAACAAUAUCAGGCAUCUAAUAAGCAAAACCAUAUUUAAUAUGACUAUUAUUGUAUCUUUAAUAUAAUUAUAUUGUCUUAAGUUUCUCGAUACUAGUCUGGAUAAUUGUAACAUUAUAUAAAGGCCUAGCCGAGAAUACAAGCCACCGCACUUGGGUGACAAGAUGAAUAACGCUAAUUGUAGGACCCGCGGCUUGGAAACAACUUAAUUUCAACACUUUUAUUUUAUAUUUAUUUUUAUUCCGUGGGUUUUCUAUUAUUCUUGCUCCAUAAAGUGAAAUAUGAAACUCAUUCCUCUAUUUUUUGGAGCUUGGGUGUAUCGCACUUGGGAGAGCAGAUAUCAAUUAAUUCCUAGUUCCCACUCCAUAAAGUGAAAUAUGAAACUCAUUCUUCUUAGUUUUUGGAGUUGGGGUAUUGCACUUGGGAGCGAAUAUAACGGUUCAUUUCUCUUGUGCGGUUGUGCCUAACUUUUACUAAAAUGACAAGUAAUUCAGCAAUGGAAAAUUAAUAAACACACUGCACACAAAUUAACGCAAAUUGAAAUCAAAGUCAGUAAGUCACCUUCACCUUCUUCGUUCAAUCGUUCUUCUGCUGGGCUACGAGCGGCGAGCCUACGGCUUCUUUUCUUCAAAUUGAAAUCAAAGUCAGUAAGCCCCUGCUGCCUAUAGCUUCUUUUCUUCAGUUCUUCUUCUUUAGAGGUGGCAACUGGUGCUUGGCAGGGGCAGAGUUUCGAGAGAGGCAGGCGAGAGUCGAGAGAUGGAGAGAGACACGAUUCAAG